UACGGGGGGUGCGAGCGUUGUCCGGAAUCACUGGGCGUAAAGGGCGCGUAGGUGGUCUGAUAAGGGUGUGGUGAAAGCCCGGGGCUCAACCCCGGGUCGGCCGUGCCGACUGUUAGACUAGAGUGCUGUAGGGGCAGGCGGAAUUCCGGGUGUAGCGGUGGAAUGCGUAGAGAUCCGGAGGAAGACCGGUGGCGAAGGCGGCCUGCUGGGCAGUUACUGACACUGAGGCGCGAAAGCCAGGGGAGCAAACGGG
rnacentral:rRNA from 1 species